ensembl:lncRNA TEX41 testis expressed 41
GGCCUCCAUCUUGAAAACGGAAAAUAAAAACAGCAGACCUAUGAAGGUCGAAGGGGAAGAAAAGCUGUAUCGAUUGUUGAGAUCUGGCGACUUGUUUAAAUUUCAUCAGCCUCACUUCUAUGAACUCUCAGAGCUGAUUACCAACUCCUACCACUGUUAACCCUCAUCCAGGAACAAGCUUAUGUCUUUAACAUUCUGAGUGGGCUUCAGCAUCCUUGCAUAUGUUCAAUUCUUAAAAACCUGUUGAAAUAAAAGAUCAGGAGACAUAGGAAGGAUGCCAGAAGAGAGCGUGGCCUCACGUGUACCAGCUCUCUGCUCUCCUUUGCCUUGGGACGUUCCAUCCCUGGAAGUUUCCCUGCCCACAUCUUUGUAGAGAGUCCAUUCUCCAAGCUUCAGUGUGUCAUCUGUGAGGACCGUGACCCACCUGGUACAUCGCCUCAGGGCAUUCAUUUCAGGCUCCUUCUAAAUGGCCAAGUUUUCAAGAUUGUUUUGGCUCUAGCAAAACAAGUUGGAACAUUCACAUCAUCCAAGCUGCAGCAAGCUGUUCGUCAGAGUCAUCUUUGGUGACUAUCUGCCUACAGGCAUUCCUUUGCACUCUGGGUGUAGCCCUCAGUGCUGGGCUUACAAAGAAGACGACACAAAAGCAACCAUGAAAAGAUCUUGGAAGCAGAGGGAUCUGCAGAAGUGCUUGCAACACUUUCAGCCUUAACCAGCAUCAGAGACAAAAAUCCUUUCUGGAAUGAGGCCAUGAGAGAAGCAGUACCUUAUAAUGGUUCCUUGUUCAAAGCACUCAAUAUUCCUAGGAUGUGGUCUCCCAGCUGACUUCAUAACUGAAUCAUCAGUAAUUAAUUUCAUUGUUCUAUUAGAUGACCUCAACCUCUUGGCCAUUUGCUCUGUGUUUCACACAGGACUUUACUGAAGACUCUAAGGAGGACCUGUAUCUGUUGGGAUCCUCAGGGCAAGCCACAGAAACAAGCUUUGGAUACUAGAAGCAGAAAAUGGAGAUAUUGAAGACUAUUGUGGAGUUUACUGUGAGCCAGAGAACCAGGCUGGGGGGCUGUAUCACUUAGAAUGAGAUCCAAACUCACACCAUAGUUCCAUCCUUGAGGUUGCCAUGUUGCUGCCACCCCUCCUGCCACCCCACCACUGAAGCUUUGGAUGCUGGAUUCUGGGCACAGCAGGGAGAAGUGUUGCUUAUUACCAUUUUAGUAUGUUUUCUUUCAAGACCUUUUCAAAAUAUACAUACGUAUUUUUAUUUCUAUUCAAAAUGGGAUACAUUUUUGAAGGUUAGCAAUAUAUUGUGAACAUUUUCUUUCCAUGCUCAGAAACAUUUUUCUAUAAUGUAAUUUAUAGUGAUAUAAACUAUCUCAUAGACCUACCAUAGUUUACCUAACAAAUCCCAAAUCAUUUGUGCCAUUUCUAAAUUUUUAUUAUUUUAUGUAAUGCUUUAAUGAACAUCCUUGCAUUUAUAUUUUAUACAAUUUUAGAAGUGGAAUUACUGGUUCAAAAUACAUGGUGAUUUUUAAUUCUUCUGUUGAAUAUUGACAAAUUGCAAUCCUGAGAGUUAUCUUGAAGGAUAGAGUACAUGCCCAGGGUUCUUUUUUAAGAAAUAAUUUGUAAUGUGAAACAGAAUAGGCUAAAUGUUUUUUAUUCUCUUAGUCCUACUCUGUCAUUCUGCAGAGUUUCACUUAUUUGGAUUCAAAUUCUAAUUCCAGCCUACCUCUCUUUUUAUAUAAUUGUUAGGAGGAUUAAAUUAGAUGCAUAAAAUUGCUGCUUACUACAUACAUUGCACAAACUAAAAACUUUUCAAAGGUUAACUGUUUUUCUGGUUUAUUUUUAAGACACAGGUUCUUGCUCUGUUGCCCAGGCUGGAGUGCAGUGGUGUGAUCACGGCUCACUAUAGCCUCAUCCUGCUGCACUGAAGUGAUCCUCUUGCCUCAGCCUCCUGAGUAGCUAGGACUACAGGCACGUGCCACCAUACCCAGCUAUUUUUUUAAAAAUACAUUUUUGUUGAGGCUGGGUCCCCUUUGUUGUCCAGGCUGGUCUUAAGCUCCUGGCCUCAAGCAAUCCUUCCACUUCUACCUCCCAAAGUGUUGAGAUUAGAGGUGUGAGCCACUCCACCUGACCCAAAGGUUAACUAUUAUUAUUGUUAUUAUUAGUCUGUUUUUUUCCAUUCAUUUCCUCAUUAGUCAACUUUUAUUGUUUCAAUGUUAUUUUAUUGUUUUUCAAAGACUCCUUAUAGUCACAAUAUGUACAUAAUAAAUUUUACCCUUUAAGGACACUGAGGUUCCAAAUGAAAAUGAUAUUUUUAAGGUGAAACAAUUAUAGAUAGAAAAACAACUUUUUUUUCUGUGAGUACUAGAUUUCAUAUUAUCCUUAAUGUCUUUCUAGGUAGUAACCAAGUGAUUUCUCAUAAACUGGAAAACAUUAUUCCCACUGAUAUUCUUAAAAACAUUUAGGAUUAAAAAAUGUAUUUUAAAUUCUUCUUGACAGAAAUCAUUUAUUGCAAUUACAUUGCCAAUUCAUAUAUAUAUUACAUAUAUGUCACCUUGACUUAUAGUAACCUGAAGGGGAAAUUUGUAGGUUUAGCAAAUCCCUUCGAGUAACACCCACAGAACUGAAAUCUUAUUCCAUUUCUUGGUGGUCUUCUACCAAUCCAGUCCUCCUGAGGACCAUAAAAACUAUUGGUUCCUCUCCUAAACUGCUGUAAAAUAUAUCCUGUGAGACCCAGGGGAAAAUCUUUCUGAGGUUGAGCAUUCCAUGGAGACUCAAUAUUCCAGAUUUUGAAAUGUAGCUAGAAGUGGAAAUGGAUUUAUUUCUCAGGAUCUCUUUGUUCAUAAUUAAGGAUAUAAAAAAUAGAGUUCAGAAUGUGAGUGAAAUGUAACUGAAAAGGAAAGCCUUGAUUUUACAUAUAAAAUAUCUUUACCAGAUGGGUGAAGUAAGGUAACUUAAGACAAUACUUAAAAUUCAAUAACAAUGAUGAAACUAUGAAAUACAAAACUUCUGGCACCCAUAAGCUAGUUCCUAGAAAGAAGGUUAUCAUAUAUUGUUAAUGUGUUCACACACUUAACAAAUAUUAAUGUGUUCAUUACAUUUAAGGCAUGAGAACUUACACAUCAUUCAAUGGUGAUAUUAAUAAUAAUUCAGUAAUCAUUAAUGAUGUACAUGCUGUUAAUAACCACAGGGCAAGUUUAUUUUUCUGUUUUCUCUGAGUUCACUUGACUUUCCCUAAUUUCUGAAGAAUUCAUUCUUUUCUUUGUGUGCUAAGAAAGAAAGGCAUUAAUAUUUAUUUAAUUUUAGUCAUUCAUUUAAAUAUAGUCUAUCUUGUUCUAAAAUG